AGAGCAGGAGGCAGCUGCUGGGCCUGCGCUGAUGGAUCCAUCACAGGGAGAGUUCUAGGCUUUGGGCCUGAAUUCUGGACCCAGUCUACAUGCAGAACAUCCCACAAGAGCUUCCCAUUAAGAGGACUUAACCACCAGAUUGGGAACCAGGUAACCGAGAUCCCAAUUCUUGCACCUGCUGGUGGGAGGAGCCUGACCGCCUGUGAAGCAUCCUUCUUCUCUGCUCUCAGAGGCCCAGUUCUCCCAAAGCCCUGCUCCUCAUACAAGUCCCAGCCUCUGCCAGCCACAGAGCAACAGACAACCCUUCUGGGAAGCUUCCUCCCCACUUAACAUGCGUGGGGUGCAGCCUCUUGCCAUUUAAUGCAUGGACAACAAUCAGCAUACAGAUUGAACUGCUG
rnacentral:lncRNA from 1 species